GACGAACGCUGGCGGCGUGCUUAACACAUGCAAGUCGAACGGUAAGGCCCUUCGGGGUACACGAGUGGCGUACGGGUGAGUAACACGUGGGUGAUCUGCCCUGCACUUCGGGAUAAGCCUGGGAAACUGGGUCUAAUACCGGAUAGGACCACUGCCUGCAUGGGUGGUGGUGGAAAGCUUUUGCGGUGUGGGAUGGGCCCGCGGCCUAUCAGCUUGUUGGUGGGGUGAUGGCCUACCAAGGCGACGACGGGUAGCCGGCCUGAGAGGGUGACCGGCCACACUGGGACUGAGGUACGGCCCAGACUCCUACGGGAGGCAGCAGUGGGGAAUAUUGCACAAUGGGCGCAAGCCUGAUGCAGCGACGCCGCGUGAGGGAUGACGGCCUUCGGGUUGUAAACCUCUUUCAGCACCGACGAAGCGCAAGUGACGGUAGGUGCAGAAGAAGGACCGGCCAACUACGUGCCAGCCGCCGCUGUAA
rnacentral:rRNA from 1 species